rnacentral:rRNA from 1 species
UACAGAGGUCCCAAGCGUUGUCCGGAAUCACUGGGCGUAAAGGGCGCGUAGGUGGUUUGAUAAGGGUGUGGUGAAAGCCCGGGGCUCAACCCCGGGUCUGCCGUGCCGACUGUUAAACUCGAGGGCUGUAGAGGCAGACGGAAUUCCGGGUGUAGCGGUGGAAUGCGUAGAGAUCCGGAGGAAGACCGGUGGCGAAGGCGGUCUGCUGGGCAGUUUCUGACACUGAUGCGCGACAGCGUGGGGAGCAAACAGG